GGAGGGGUGCCGGAGAUGGCCUAACGGGCCCGCCUCGAAAGCGGUGCGUGCGAAAGCACACGAGGGUUCGAAUCCCUCCCCCUCCG
rnacentral:tRNA from 1 species